AGCGUACACGGUGGAUGCCCUGGCAGUCAGAGGCGAUGAAGGACGUGCUAAUCUGCGAAAAGCGUCGGUAAGGUGAUAUGAACCGUUACAGCCGGCGAUGUCCGAAUGGGGAAACCCAGUGUGAUUCGUCACACUAUCGUUAACUGAAUACAUAGGUUAACGAGGCGAACCGGGGGAACUGAAACAUCUAAGUACCCCGAGGAAAAGAAAUCAACCGAGAUUCCCCCAGUAGCGGCGAGCGAACGGGGAGCAGCCCAGAGUCUGAAUCAGCUUGUGUGUUAGUGGAACGGUCUGGAAAGUCCGACGGUACAGGGUGAUAGUCCCGUACACCAAAAUGCACAGGCUGUGAACUCGAAGAGUAGGGCGGGACACGUGGUAUCCUGUCUGAAUAUGGGGGGACCAUCCUCCAAGGCUAAAUACUCCUGACUGACCGAUAGUGAACCAGUACCGUGAGGGAAAGGCGAAAAGAACCCCGGCGAGGGGAGUGAAAAAGAACCUGAAACCGUGUACGUACAAGCAGUGGGAGCACCUUCGGGUGUGACUGCGUACCUUUUGUAUAAUGGGUCAGCGACUUAUAUUCUGUAGCAAGGUUAACCGUAUAGGGGAGCCGCAGGGAAACCGAGUCUUAACUGGGCGUUAAGUUGCAGGGUAUAGACCCGAAACCCGGUGAUCUAGCCAUGGGCAGGUUGAAGGUUGGGUAACACUAACUGGAGGACCGAACCGACUAAUGUUGAAAAAUUAGCGGAUGACUUGUGGCUGGGGGUGAAAGGCCAAUCAAACCGGGAGAUAGCUGGUUCUCCCCGAAAGCUAUUUAGGUAGCGCCUCGUGAACUCAUCUUCGGGGGUAGAGCACUGUUUCGGCUAGGGGGUCAUCCCGACUUACCAACCCGAUGCAAACUACGAAUACCGAAGAAUGUUAUCACGGGAGACACACGGCGGGUGCUAACGUCCGUCGUGAAGAGGGAAACAACCCAGACCGCCAGCUAAGGUCCCAAAGUCAUGGUUAAGUGGGAAACGAUGUGGGAAGGCACAGACAGCCAGGAUGUUGGCUUAGAAGCAGCCAUCAUUUAAAGAAAGCGUAAUAGCUCACUGGUCGAGUCGGCCUGCGCGGAAGAUGUAACGGGGCUAAACCAUGCACCGAAGCUGCGGCAGCGACACUAUGUGUUGUUGGGUAGGGGAGCGUUCUGUAAGCCUGCGAAGGUGUGCUGUGAGGCAUGCUGGAGGUAUCAGAAGUGCGAAUGCUGACAUAAGUAACGAUAAAGCGGGUGAAAAGCCCGCUCGCCGGAAGACCAAGGGUUCCUGUCCAACGUUAAUCGGGGCAGGGUGAGUCGACCCCUAAGGCGAGGCCGAAAGGCGUAGUCGAUGGGAAACAGGUUAAUAUUCCUGUACUUGGUGUUACUGCGAAGGGGGGACGGAGAAGGCUAUGUUAGCCGGGCGACGGUUGUCCCGGUUUAAGCAUGUAGGCUGGUUGUCCAGGCAAAUCCGGAUAAUCAAGGCUGAGGUGUGAUGACGAGGCACUACGGUGCUGAAGUAACAAAUGCCCUGCUUCCAGGAAAAGCCUCUAAGCAUCAGGUAACAUCAAAUCGUACCCCAAACCGACACAGGUGGUCAGGUAGAGAAUACCAAGGCGCUUGAGAGAACUCGGGUGAAGGAACUAGGCAAAAUGGUGCCGUAACUUCGGGAGAAGGCACGCUGGUGUGUAGGUGAAGUCCCUGCGGAUGGAGCUGAGACCAGUCGAAGAUACCAGCUGGCUGCAACUGUUUAUUAAAAACACAGCACUGUGCAAACACGAAAGUGGACGUAUACGGUGUGACGCCUGCCCGGUGCCGGAAGGUUAAUUGAUGGGGUUAUCCGUAAGGAGAAGCUCUUGAUCGAAGCCCCGGUAAACGGCGGCCGUAACUAUAACGGUCCUAAGGUAGCGAAAUUCCUUGUCGGGUAAGUUCCGACCUGCACGAAUGGCGUAAUGAUGGCCAGGCUGUCUCCACCCGAGACUCAGUGAAAUUGAACUCGCUGUGAAGAUGCAGUGUACCCGCGGCAAGACGGAAAGACCCCGUGAACCUUUACUAUAGCUUGACACUGAACAUUGAGCCUUGAUGUGUAGGAUAGGUGGGAGGCUUUGAAGCGUGGACGCCAGUCUGCGUGGAGCCAACCUUGAAAUACCACCCUUUAAUGUUUGAUGUUCUAACGUUGGCCCCUUACCGGGGUUGCGGACAGUGUCUGGUGGGUAGUUUGACUGGGGCGGUCUCCUCCCAAAGCGUAACGGAGGAGCACGAAGGUUAGCUAAUCCUGGUCGGACAUCAGGAGGUUAGUGCAAUGGCAUAAGCUAGCUUGACUGCGAGCGUGACGGCGCGAGCAGGUGCGAAAGCAGGUCAUAGUGAUCCGGUGGUUCUGAAUGGAAGGGCCAUCGCUCAACGGAUAAAAGGUACUCCGGGGAUAACAGGCUGAUACCGCCCAAGAGUUCAUAUCGACGGCGGUGUUUGGCACCUCGAUGUCGGCUCAUCACAUCCUGGGGCUGAAGUAGGUCCCAAGGGUAUGGCUGUUCGCCAUUUAAAGUGGUACGCGAGCUGGGUUUAGAACGUCGUGAGACAGUUCGGUCCCUAUCUGCCGUGGGCGCUGGAGAAUUGAGGGGGGCUGCUCCUAGUACGAGAGGACCGGAGUGGACGCAUCACUGGUGUUCGGGUUGUCAUGCCAAUGGCACUGCCCGGUAGCUAAAUGCGGAAGAGAUAAGUGCUGAAAGCAUCUAAGCACGAAACUUGCCCCGAGAUGAGUUCU
rnacentral:rRNA from 2 species